UGCACAUAUUCAGAAUUAUAGAAAGCAGACUGUAUCCCUGGUUUCUUGUGCCUUGGUACAAGUAAAGCAGAAAUAAUAAGAUUUUUUCUCACACACUGUACUGUAGUCAAAGGUCAGAAGAAGGUUUGCUGGCUCACUUACCCGUGGAAGUCUUCUUUGUUGAGAACAGCAACAAGAAGAGCAGCAAAUGCAACAAGUUUCUUCAUCAUAAUGGAAUAACUCAAACACUAGCCAGCCUGGGGCUUUGAGAAUCUCGUCAUACUCUGUGGGGGUCUCAAGGUAAUCGCCCAGAAGUUUCUAAGUGGAAUGACAACCGACUCCUUCCCAGAGUCAUGCCUGUCCGCUCCCAAAUCCUCCAAGGAAAGGAAAUUGUCUGUGGCCCAGCAGUCGGCGCAGGACGCCAAGAAACGCUGGAUGUUUACGUUAGACAAGCUGGAUAAGAUCCAGGAGCAGAUGGAGGAGCUGAUCAUCUCCAGUUACUCAAACAGUAAGACUGAAGCCAGUCAGAAACUAAAAAAAAUAAAAUAAAAUAAAGAAACUGAAGGUACAAUUAGAAAUGUGAGAGUUAGCAGAAAGCAUUUAGAAAGACUUACUUAAGUAUAAUAAAGUAUAAUUUCCUGUG